rnacentral:lncRNA from 1 species
CCGGGCUGGAAAACUCCUCCUCUCGCCUCUUUCCCUCCCUCCUUCCUGCCUGGGGCCUGCCCUCCUUUCUCCGCCCCCCCUGGAACACUGCGCGGUUCGGGGCUCUGACCCACCCACCUCCUCCUUUUGUGCCAGCGCUUUUUCUGGCCAGAGAGCGCUGGAGACAAGCCCCAGCAGAGCGAAAUAUCCUGAAGUAGCUUUCUUUGCCCCAAUUUGCGCGCCCCCUCACCCGGAAUACACACACGGUAUUCAAUACAACCGCCUCGAACAUCCCAGACGUCUAGAAGGAUACCAUCUGUGCAGAAAGCUGCGUGAGUCACACGGAAACAGAAGGGGCAACCGAGGGGAUUCAGAGUGGCCCACUGCGGCCGGAUACUAUGGCCAUGUUCUCUGUUUUGAUCCUCACGACCAUGCCCCAAGUUCGCUAUUACCAUGUCCACUUUCUCCAAUAAGACACCGACGCUUAGAAACUUGCCCAGAUUCACCCCCGUUACUGGCAGAGCAGGGACUGGAACUUAGGUGUGUAGUUCUGCCGACGUCAAAGUCCAUACUACAGAUUUUUUGUUAGUUUGUUUCUCUUUUGCAAAGGAAUAAAUCAAGGACUGGACCGGGUGCGUGCCUGCUCUGCUGCGGUUUAGGAUGGGGCUUGAGGUUCUCCUUCCAGGAUCAGCUGAUGGGAGAGCACAAGGCACAGAAAGUUCUCUGUCUCACCCACAGCCAUGGGGAUCCAGCUGUAGGUUCCUGCAGCCAGAUUUCCUCAUUUCCUGGGUUGUUCUCAACCACCCCAAAGAUACCACGACCAGACUGGAGCCUCUUCCCUGUGGCUUGGCAUCGCUGGAUCCUGGCAUCAGGACAGGGUUUCUAGGCUGCCCGCAGGACGGAUCUGGUUUCUUUGAGGCAUUUGAGUAAGCCUCUCAUAGUUUUGUUUGUUUGUUUGUUGUUUUGGUUGUUUAGUUCUUGUUAAAUCAGUAAGGCAAUACGUUGCCCCUUUGCUGUCUCAGAAAGAUCUUAGCUAAGGCAAAUUUUAGUUGGAGUUGCUGCAUUAGGUUGUGCAGUUUGGGCACUGUACAAAGGCAUCCAGAGGAAGGGGCAAGUGGGAGCCAAAAUCCAAAUGCCUUUGGGUUCAGGGAGCUUUGCGUCUUGGCAGGGGCCACAUCCACUAGAAGGGCAUCUUUCUCUCUGCCACAGUAGUCUGGUCUGAUAGCUAGGCUAAGAGCCCUGGGGGCACUCACCUAGAAGUUCUGAAUUUGUUUAUCCAGAAGGAGUGCCAUUUCCCAAUUCUCACAAAAGCCCCAGACUUGAACGUCCAUCUUACCCUCUCUAGCACUUGGGGGGACUUCGCUCCAUCUCCUGUGGGUUUCUCCACUGCUGCUACCUCUUCAGGGAACCAACAACCCUUAAAUAACCCCCUAGUCGCAAGGAAAUGGGGGAGGUCAGUCUAUUCUGUGGCCUCCAUCAGACCAGACUUUCCAGGGAGUCAUUCUCAACCUUGUUUAUGUGGGUCACCUGGGGAGCUUCAUGAAAAUACCAUAUCCAGGCUCUACCUCACACUAAUAAAAUCAGAAUCUUUAGGAAUGUGACCUGGAGUUUGACCAGAUGCAUAUUUUUGUCUCUCCCCAAUCCGCUAAGCUCCACGGUAUAAGUUUUAGUAUAGGAUAAAAAUUCUAGACCAGGAGUUUCUCAACUUGGGCACUAUUGAUAUUUGGGGCUAGAUGAUUCUUUCUUGGGGAGGGGGACUGCCUUGCACGUUGAGAGAUGCAUCGAUGGCCUCUAUGCAACAGAUACCACUAGCAAUCCCCCUUUCCCCAGUUAUGGCAGCCAAGUCCCAGCUACUCGGGAGGCCAAGGCAGGAGAAUCACUUGAACCUGGGAGGCAGAGGUUGUGCCACUGCACUCCAGACUGGGCAACAGAGCUAGACUCCAUCUCAAAAAAAAAAAUACUGACUUGAUUUUUUCUUUUUCUUUUUCUUUUCUUUCUUUCUUUUUUUUUUUUUUCUUUGACAGGGUCUUAUUCUGAAUUUGAAUUUGUUUAUCCAGAAGGAGUGCUGUUUCCUGGCUGGAGUGCAGUGGCAUGAUCAUAGCUCAUUGCAGCCUCAAACACCUGUGCUCAAGCAAUUCUCCUGCCUCAGCUUCCUGAGUAGCUAGGACUACAAGCAUGUGCCACCAUGGCCAGCUAAGUGUUUUUUGUAGAUAUGGGGGUCCCAUAAAUAUGUACAUUUACAAUGUGUCCAUUAAAAAAAUAAACAAAAAUAAAAGACUUGAAGAAACAUCUCUAUAUAAUGUUUACAGAGAAAAAUAACAUUUGUUGUUUUCAUUGUGCAAGGAUAUCUUGAAGGACAGAUCCAAGUUCAGUUGCCUCUUGUAUCAAUAAAUCGAAAUAACCCUUUCAUUUUUACCUAACAAAGAUAAAGGGGAGAGAACAAGGUGGUAUUCUUACCUAGUGGGAAUACUAAAAGGAAUGCCAUUGUUGUCAAAAUGUAUAAGGUAUAUAAAUCACGUGGGUUAGAGUAAUAGGGAACACAAUUAGAUAUAAUAUUGGGAAACCAUUAUUUUUCCUUGACAAGCUUGAAGUAUUCGAUAUAAACCCUUGGAAGAACUAAUAUGAACAUGAAAAAAUAAAAUAAGAGCCUGGAAUGAGGAAAAAAAGUCUCUUGCUCUCUUUUCUACCCUAUAGAGAAAAUUCCAAUGGGACUUUUAUUUUUCUUAUUAUUUUUAUUCCAGUUUUCUCUCUGAUAGAAGAGAUGAGGGUAGAGGUAAGGUAGAGGAAGAGGUUGUCAAUUCAUCCCAAUCCCACAAUAUCUUGGAAGACAAUCAGAUAGUUAAAUAGAUUCAUAAUCUGUCAAAUAACUUAAGGGUUAAUGAGUUGAUGAAAACAAAGAGAAGUCACUCAGGGAGUGCCACAGAGCUAUGACACCAUUCCUAUCCUGCUUGAUGUUACUAUUUAUGAACUAGAAAAAGAUAUUUUUGGCAAAGGACAUGAAGAUAGGAGGGCAAGAAACAGAUUCCAAACAUCUCUCUAGGCAGGCAUGCUGUAUUGAAACAUUAAAAGACAGCAAGGAUAAAUAUGAUGUCCUAUGUUAGAUCUCAAAAACCAAUCACACAUGAAGAAUCUAAGAAUCACUAGAAAGCCAAGUAGUCUCCCCACUGCAUCAGGCUCAUCUGUGCAAAGAAGUGUUUAUAAGGUUUUAUUCAGCAUUGCUCAUAGUAACAAAAGGUUGGUGACAUUUUUGUAAAUGUAAAUAUCCAUUAAUGGGGAAUUAUUUUAUUAAUUAUGCAUACCUAUGUAACGAAAUACUAUGUGGCCAUUAAAAAGAAUGAACAAGAUGCAUAUGCAUCAGUAGGAAAGGUAGUCUCACAUAUUUUGUUUAAUGAAAUAACAAGCAAAAUAAUACACAUAUCUUGCUACCAUUUGUGGUAUGGGGAAGGCAUGAUACUGUAUCAGGGUAUGGGGAAGUCAGUAGGAGAAAUAAUUUUUUAUUACUGUACAAUCCUUUGUACUGUUUAAAUAUGUAAGCAUGUAAUGAUAUUUCUUAUUUAAAUUAAACAGAUCAUUGAAAAUGUUUUCUUAAAAAAAAAAAUCACACCGAUACAGAGUAGGAGUUGCCAGUAGUGGCUUCACAGUACAACCUACGACAGUGCAAUCUAUUUGCCUAUAAGCUAAGUCUCCAAGGCACCUCAGGUGCAUGCAGACAGUGUCUGUCUU